UCCCUGGUGGCUCAGAUGGAAAAGCAUCUGCCUACCAAGCAGGAGACCCCGGGUUCAAUCCCUGGGUUGGGAA